CCUACGGGAGGCUGCAGUGAGGAAUAUUGGUCAAUGGACGCAAGUCUGAACCAGCCAUGUCGCGUGCAGGAAGACGGCUCUAUGAGUUGUAAACUGCUUUUGUACGAGGGUAAACGCAGAUACGCGUAUCUGUCUGAAAGUAUCGUACGAAUAAGGAUCGGCUAACUCCGUGCCAGCAGCCGCGGUAAUACGGAGGAUUCAAGCGUUAUCCGGAUUUAUUGGGUUUAAAGGGUGCGUAGGCGGUCGGAUAAGUUAGAGGUGAAAUCCCGAGGCUCAACUUCGGAAUUGCCUCUGAUACUGUGCGGCUAGAGAGGAGGUGCGGUAGGCGGAAUGUAUGGUGUAGGGGUGAAAUGCUUAGAGAGCAUACAGAACACCGAUUGCGAAGGCAGCUUACCAAGAUACUUCUGACGUUGAGGCACGAAAGCGUGGGGAGCAAACAGGAUUAGAGAUCCCUGUAGUG
rnacentral:rRNA from 1 species